UACGAAGGGGGCUAGCGUUGCUCGGAAUCACUGGGCGUAAAGCGCACGUAGGCGGAUUGUUAAGUCAGGGGUGAAAGCCUGGAGCUCAACUCCAGAACUGCCCUUGAUACUGGCAAUCUCGAGUCCGGAAGAGGUAAGUGGAACUCCGAGUGUAGAGGUGAAAUUCGUAGAUAUUCGCAAGAACACCAGUGGCGAAGGCGGCUCACUGGCCCGGUACUGACGCUGAGGCACGAAAGCGUGGGGAGCAAACAGG
rnacentral:rRNA from 1 species